GACAAUGAAGACUGAGGUGUCUGCUUUGCAGUUUUUUUUUUUCUUUUCUUGUCUUUUUUUUUUUUUUUCCUAAUCAUGUGGACAUCUCUGAGAAUGAGGGGACUGGGUGACUUUGCAGUGUCUGCUUUCUAAGUUUCAAAGUGACUUUCCAGGCAAGCUGCGCAUAUCUUGGGAUCUUCACAGCACAGUGGCUGGGAAGGCAGGCGGACCCGUCUAUCAGCUUCUCCCUGGAUGUGCUUUGGAGUUACUCAGAGAGAAAGAAAGCUCCCUUCCCGAAUCUCACUACCCUCCCUCCGAUGGAUGUGCGCAGCUUAGAUUCUGCUCUGCCAAAACUAAAGUGUGCACACACGGUCACAGAAUUGUGGGUGAUGAGUUCUUUGUUCUAGAACUUCCUGUGUAAUGAAACUGCCAUCCAUAAUUGUUUUCCUGUGGACUGCUUAUUAAAAGAAGUGAUUUUUGAUGAACUAAACUAGGUGGGAUUCUUGCGGGGGCAGGGAUCGAGUCAAACCUUGGAAAUGACGUCAUUCUGAACUCAUCUGCCUUUAUCCAGAAGACUACCAAAGCAAACCAGAGGACCAGAGAACAGCAGCUGCUCUGGACAAAGAGGGGAGGACACCCACACCCACAUACCAAGUUCUGGUUGACUUCUACAGCAGAAGAAGCAGGAGACACAAGAAGACUCAGAGGGACUGAAAUAUAAGAAGAUCGAUGCCAGAUGUUGUUGUGAUGACAACCUGUUGGGUUGAAGGACCCCAGGAAGACACAGUCCAGAUUCACAGGGACAGAGCCACUCA
rnacentral:lncRNA from 1 species